GGGAUACCAGUGAUCGGGAGUCUUGAAUUUCCGGGCCAGGUACAUGAGGAUGGCAACGCUGGCAGAGAGCAGGACAGAGCAGUGAGUGCCUCUUCUCAUUUGGAUCAACGUCUCACCACAACCAUUCGUUGGCAACAAGGGAAAAGACACCGUAUGGGCUUUUACCCCAGCUGCAAUCAGCCUCUACUGAGACAGGCUGUUAAGAGGAAAGCAGCAUCAAGUGCAUUCGGUGAGCAGCCAAGGCACGAGGGGAACACCCAGAGCAGAAACCACAACACCCAGAGGUUUUUCUCAUAACAAGCUGGAGCCUCUCUUGUUUCUCUAUCAGUUUGAGCCUCGUAAACCUUCUCAUCUUGCAUUUUAAGCCCAAUACAUUCACUGAAUUUCACAACAGACCACUAGAAAGGCUGAAAGGCAGUUUUUACCAGCAAAGGAAAGAGAUACAGAUCUCCAGACGUCCUCUGAUGAAAACAUACGAUACCUCUCUGUGGGGCUCCUACCCUCCGUCAGUUGGUUCUGGAACAAACAAAAGCCCUUCUCCCUUCUGCAGCCCUCAGCUUUCCCAUUCUGGCUGCUGCACUUCACCCUCCCCUGCCUUUGCCAUCUCCCAGUGCUGUCAGCAUGACUUCACCCCACUGUGCCCCACUGCUACACCCAGAGGAGAACCACACUGUGCUGCAGCACGGAGCUCCCAUUACUUGAAAGGGGCGAAGCCCACGCUGCUGGGUGCACUUCCAUCUCCUUUUGGCCGGCACCCCGAGGAGCCUUACUUCUCAGAACGACGUCUCUUUUCCUGUCCCCCAUUUUCUGAUGGACUGUUUUCAAAGAGCUCGCACACAGCUCUGCAGAACCUCAGCACGAGGUGGGGACGAGGGCGGCAGCACCGCCCGGUAACAACCGGAGUUUCCACACUGGACGCGAAUCCCCCGCCCGCUGCUACCGGGGGGCAGCGGCCCCUUCCCAUCCCCGCUCACCCUUCAUCAGCUCCACCCGUUUGAACUCGAACGGGAUGUUGUUGCAGCGGGCGAAGAGGAAAACUGCCCGGCAAGGCUGCGAGAGCAGAUCGAGGUACAG